GUACUUGUCAGCAGUACAUAUACUAAAAUUGGAACGAUACAGAGAAGAUUAGCAUGGCCCCUGCGCAAGGAUUUACGCAAAAUCGUGAAGCGUUCCACAUUUUU
rnacentral:snRNA from 1 species